rnacentral:rRNA from 1 species
GACGAACGCUGGCGGCGCGCCUAACACAUGCAAGUCGAACGGAGUCAAGAGGAGCUUGCUUUUCUUGACUUAGUGGCGAACGGGUGAGUAACGCGUGAGUAACCUGCCCUGGAGUGGGGGACAACAGUUGGAAACGACUGCUAAUACCGCAUAAGCCCACGGAUCCGCAUGGAUCUGCGGGAAAAGGAUUUAUUCGCUUCAGGAUGGACUCGCGUCCAAUUAGCUAGUUGGUGAGGUAACGGCCCACCAAGGCGACGAUUGGUAGCCGGACUGAGAGGUUGAACGGCCACAUUGGGACUGAGACACGGCCCAGACUCCUACGGGAGGCAGCAGUGGGGGAUAUUGCACAAUGGGGGAAACCCUGAUGCAGCGACGCCGCGUGGAGGAAGAAGGUUUUCGGAUUGUAAACUCCUGUCGUUAGGGACGAUAGUGACGGUACCUAACAAGAAAGCACCGGCUAACUACGUG